rnacentral:rRNA from 1 species
UAGGGAAUCUUCGGCAAUGGACGGAANUCUGGACCGAGCAACCNCACGUGAGUGAAGAAGGUUUUCGGAUCGUAAAGCUCUGUUGUAAGAGAAGAACGAGUGUGAGAGUGGAAAGUUCACACUGUGACGGUAUCUUACCAGAAAGGGACGGCUAACUACGUGCCAGCAGCCGCGGUAAUACGUAGGUCCCGAGCGUUGUCCGGAUUUAUUGGGCGUAAAGCGAGCGCAGGCGGUUAGAUAAGUCUGAAGUUAAAGGCUGUGGCUUAACCAUAGUACGCUUUGGAAACUGUUUAACUUGAGUGCAAGAGGGGAGAGUGGAAUUCCAUGUGUAGCGGUGAAAUGCGUAGAUAUAUGGAGGAACACCGGUGGCGAAAGCGGCUCUCUGGCUUGCAACUGACGCUGAGGCUCGAAAGCGUGGGGAGCAGACAGGAUUAGAUACCCUGGUAGUCCACGCCGUAAACGAUGAGUGCUAGGUGUUAGACCCUUUCCGGGGUUUAGUGCCGUAGCUAACGCAUUAAGCACUCCGCCUGGGGAGUACGACCGCAANUUG